rnacentral:rRNA from 1 species
AGCGGAGGAAAAGAAACCAACAGGGAUUGCCCCAGUAACGGCGAGUGAAGCGGCAACAGCUCAAAUUUGAAAUCUGGCCCCCGGGUCCGAGUUGUAAUUUGUAGAGGAUGCUUUUGGCGAGGUGCCUUCCGAGUUCCCUGGAACGGGACGCCAUAGAGGGUGAGAGCCCCGUCUGGUCGGACACCGAGCCUCUGUAAAGCUCCUUCGACGAGUCGAGUAGUUUGGGAAUGCUGCUCAAAAUGGGAGGUAUAUGUCUUCUAAAGCUAAAUAUUGGCCAGAGACCGAUAGCGCACAAGUAGAGUGAUCGAAAGAUGAAAAGCACUUUGAAAAGAGGGUUAAAAAGUACGUGAAAUUGUUGAAAGGGAAGCGCCUAUGACCAGACUUGGGCCCGGUGAAUCAUCCAGCGUUCUCGCUGGUGCACUUUGCCGGGCACAGGCCAGCAUCAGUUUGGCGCGGGGGAGAAAGGCUCUGGGAAUGUGGCUCCUCCGGGAGUGUUAUAGCCCACUGCGUAAUACCCUGCGCCGGACUGAGGUACGCGCAUUGCAAGGAUGCUGGCGUAAUGGUCAUCAGCGACCCGUCUUGAAACACGGACCAAGGAGUCGUCUUCGUAUGCGAGUGUUCGGGUGUCAAACCCCUACGCGUAAUGAAAGUGAACGCAGGUGAGAGCUUCGGCGCAUCAUCGACCGAUCCUGAUGUUCUCGGAUGGAUUUGAGUAAGAGCAUACGGGGCCGGACCCGAAAGAAGGUGAACUAUGCCUGUAUAGGGUGAAGCCAGAGGAAACUCUGGUGGAGGCUCGCAGCGGUUCUGACGUGCGAAUCGAUCGUCAAAUAUGGGCAUGGGGGCGAAAGACUAAUCGAACCUUCUAGUAGCUGGUU